UACGGAGGGUGCGAGCGUUAAUCGGAAUUACUGGGCGUAAAGCGCGCGUAGGCGGUUGAUUAAGUCGGAUGUGAAAGCCCUGGGCUCAACCUGGGAACUGCAUUCGAUACUGGUCAACUAGAGUACGAGAGAGGGAGGUAGAAUUCCACGUGUAGCGGUGAAAUGCGUAGAUAUGUGGAGGAAUACCGGUGGCGAAGGCGGCCUCCUGGCUCGAUACUGACGCUGAGGUGCGAAAGCGUGGGGAGCAAACAGG
rnacentral:rRNA from 1 species